rnacentral:misc_RNA from 1 species
CUUCUUCACCCCGGGCAGAUCGGCUUUGAUGACAUGGGCCUCCGGUGUCUCCUUCCAGUCGAAACGAGCGCUGGCAAAGGCAGAGGUCUCGCCGGAGAGCUGAGAGAGGGCACCAGUGUGGCGGCCAAGGAAGGGGUCGAAGAGGUCGAGGGAGAAGGGAUCGAAAAUGUUGCUCCUGCGGACUAUUGACAUGUUGAUCUAAGAUUGGUGAGAGAUGGAG